CCAGACUCCUACGGGAGGCAGCAGUGGGGAAUAUUGCACAAUGGGCGCAAGCCUGAUGCAGCGACGCCGCGUGAGGGAUGGAGGCCUUCGGGUUGUGAACCUCUUUCGCUCAUGGUCAAGCCGCAACUGUGGGUUGUGGUGAGGGUAGUGGGUAAAGAAGCGCCGGCUAACUACGUGCCAGCAGCCGCGGUAAUACGUAGGGCGCGAGCGUUGUCCGGAAUUAUUGGGCGUAAAGGGCUUGUAGGCGGUUGGUCGCGUCUGUCGUGAAAUCCUCUGGCUUAACUGGGGGCGUGCGGUGGGUACGGGCUGGCUUGAGUGCGGUAGGGGAGACUGGAACUCCUGGUGUAGCGGUGGAAUGCGCAGAUAUCAGGAAGAACACCGGUGGCGAAGGCGGGUCUCUGGGCCGUUACUGACGCUGAGGAGCGAAAGCGUGGGGAGCGAACAGGAUUAGAUACCCUGGUAGUCCACGCUGUAAACGUUGGGCACUAGGUGUGGGGGCCACCCGUGGUUUCUGCGCCGUAGCUAACGCUUUAAGUGCCCCGCCUGGGGAGUACGGCCGCAAGGCUAAAACUCAAAGGAAUUGACGGUGGCCCGCACAAG
rnacentral:rRNA from 1 species